AGAGUUUGAUCCUGGCUCAGAUUGAACGCUGGCGGCAGGCCUAACACAUGCAAGUCGAACGGUAGCACAGAGGAGCUUGCUCCUUGGGUGACGAGUGGCGGACGGGUGAGUAAUGUCUGGGAAACUGCCCGAUGGAGGGGGAUAACUACUGGAAACGGUAGCUAAUACCGCAUAACGUCGCAAGACCAAAGAGGGGGACCUUCGGGCCUCUUGCCAUCGGAUGUGCCCAGAUGGGAUUAGCUAGUAGGUGGGGUAACGGCUCACCUAGGCGACGAUCCCUAGCUGGUCUGAGAGGAUGACCAGCCACACUGGAACUGAGACACGGUCCAGACUCCUACGGGAGGCAGCAGUGGGGAAUAUUGCACAAUGGGCGCAAGCCUGAUGCAGCCAUGCCGCGUGUAUGAAGAAGGCCUUCGGGUUGUAAAGCACUUUCAGCGAGGAGGAAGGUAUCAUACUUAAUACGUGUGGUGAUUGACGUUACUCGCAGAAGAAGCACCGGCUAACUCCGUGCCAGCAGCCGCGGUAAUACGGAGGGUGCAAGCGUUAAUCGG
rnacentral:rRNA from 1 species